GGAGAGGCUUGGGUUCCAGUUUCAAGGACUGUUGGUUUUGCUACGCCAAAUCUGCCAAUGGAUGAAAACAGGGGUGGUGAACAUAGACAGUGGCUCAAGCUGGGCCAGCAUUCGAUUCAUACCCGGAUAGUGCACGUCUUGCAGUAAAUCUGCCACAACAAAGGCGAUCAAGCCCAGUAACGUAUAUGGGUUCUGGUUCAGCCUUUGCUUCUGGUUCCCAGCUAGCACCUCUACCUGAUGUGCUAAUGAUGCCAGAUGGGACAAGUUAUACAACCUGUUGUCUUUGCACUCUCUCCAUUUGACUUGGGGUUGCACCACCAUGAGGUUUCCGAAGAAGUGUCACUUGCAUGCUAUGAAUCCGUGCAGCUGUGCGAAAGCUCUGAAACCGACAAGAUUUGGUUCUGUCAUGUGAUUCCAUUCUUGAUUAAAAUGUCUGGACCAAUGUUCAAAGGCAAGUAAAAUCACAAUGU